AGGACGAACGCUGGCGGCGUGCCUAACACAUGCAAGUCGAACGCGCUCCAUUCGGUAGCAAUACUGAUGAAGAGCGAGUGGCGAACGGGUGAGUAGCACGUGAGCAACCUGCCCCGAAGACUGGGACAACACCGGGAAACCGGUGCUAAUACCGGAUAUCCCUAUCGGACCGCAUGAUCUGAUAAGGAAAUGGAUUCCGCUUCGGGAGGGGCUCGCGGCCUAUCAGCUAGUUGGUGAGGUAACGGCCCACCAAGGCAUCGACGGGUAGCUGGUCUGAGAGGACGAUCAGCCACACUGGGACUGAGACACGGCCCAGACUCCUACGGGAGGCAGCAGUGGGGAAUCUUGCGCAAUGGGCGAAAGCCUGACGCAGCAACGCCGCGUGGAGGACGAAGGCUUUCUGAGUUGUAAACUCCUUUCAGCAGGGACGAUAGUGACGGUACCUGCAGAAGAGCACCGGCAACUACGUGCCAGCAGCCGG
rnacentral:rRNA from 1 species